rnacentral:rRNA from 1 species
AGCGAACGCUGGCGGCAGGCUUAACACAUGCAAGUCGAGCGGGCACCUUCGGGUGUCAGCGGCAGACGGGUGAGUAACACGUGGGAACGUACCCUUUGGUUCGGAACAACUCUGGGAAACUGGAGCUAAUACCGGAUACGCCCUGAUGGGGAAAGGUUUACCGCCGAAGGAUCGGCCCGCGUCUGAUUAGCUAGUUGGUGAGGUAACGGCUCACCAAGGCGACGAUCAGUAGCUGGUCUGAGAGGAUGAUCAGCCACACUGGGACUGAGACACGGCCCAGACUCCUACGGGAGGCAGCAGUGGGGAAUAUUGGACAAUGGGCGCAAGCCUGAUCCAGCCAUGCCGCGUGAGUGAUGAAGGCCUUAGGGUUGUAAAGCUCUUUCACCCGCGACGAUGAUGACGGUAGC